CCCAAGACUAGAGUCACAUCCUGACAUGGUUACUUAUCCUGGUGUGUUAGGGUUCUUGAAGAGGAUCUGCUGGUCUUGGUUCACCUGUGGGGUAGUCAGUGCCCUGUUGGUGCCCAGAUCAGAAACAUGU
ensembl:snoRNA